rnacentral:lncRNA from 1 species
UUGAUCCUUUUCCCUUUCUUUAUUUUCAAAUUUGGCCCAGAUUUUCUGUUUCACGUUUAAAUUAGUCCCUUCUCUAUUAUUUUGGGUUCUUUAUUACUUAUAUUAUCAUUAUUAUCAUUAUUAUUAUUAUAUCACUAUUUAUUAUUGUAUUAUUAUAUUCAUUUUCUUUAUCUACUAUCUUAUUUUUAAUAUUAUUAGUAUAUCCUAUUUACUCCUUUUUACCUUAUUAUUAUUAAUAUUAUUAUACAUGGUAUUAUUUCCAUAUUAUUAUUUUAAUAUUAUAUUAACUGUUAUAUUUUGC